rnacentral:rRNA from 1 species
AGAGUUUGAUCCUGGCUCAGGACGAACGCUGGCGGCGUGCUUAACACAUGCAAGUGGAGCGACGAACCAGGGCUUGCCCUGGGGCAAAGCCGCGAACGGGUGAGUAACACGUGGGUAACCUACCCGGAGGUGGGGGAUAACCCUUCGAAAGGAGGGCUAAUACCGCAUGACACCGCGGGGACCUCGGUCCUUGCGAUCAAAGCUGGCCUCUGUUUACAAGCUAGCGCCACCGGAUGGGCCCGCGCCCCAUUAGCUAGUUGGUGAGGUAACGGCUCACCAAGGCGACGAUGGGUAGCCGGCCUGAGAGGGCGAUCGGCCACACUGGAACUGCGACACGGUCCAGACUCCUACGGGAGGCAGCAGUGAGGAAUCUUGCGCAAUGGGCGAAAGCCUGACGCAGCGACGCCGCGUGGAGGAUGAAGGUCUUCGGAUUGUAAACUCCUGUCGAGUGGGACGAAUGCCGUGAGGGUGAACAAUCCUUACGGUUGACGGUACCGCUGGAGGAAGCCCCGGCUAACUCCGUGCCAGCAGCCGCGGUAAUACGGAGGGGGCUAGCGUUGUUCGGAAUCAUUGGGCGUAAAGGGCGCGUAGGCGGCCGAUCAAGUCGGAGGUGAAAUCCCUCGGCUCAACUGAGGAAUUGCCUUCGAUACUGUUCGGCUUGAGUCCUGGAGAGGGUAGCGGAAUUCCCGGUGUAGCGGUGAAAUGCGUAGAGACCGGGAAGAACACCAGUGGCGAAGGCGGCUACCUGGACAGGUACUGACGCUGAAGCGCGAAAGCUAGGGGAGCAAACAGGAUUAGAUACCCUGGUAGUCCUAGCUGUAAACGAUGGGCACUUGGUGUUGCGGGUAUCGACCCCUGCAGUGCCGAAGCUAACGCAUUAAGUGCCCCGCCUGGGGAGUACGGUCGCAAGGCUGAAACUCAAA